rnacentral:lncRNA from 1 species
AUCAUCGGCGUCCGCGGGCGUUUACGGUCGGUCGACGCUAUCGACCGAGCGCUUACCGCGCGCCCCACCGCCGUACUAAGCGCUCGGGAGAGGGCGCUGGAACGAUUUAACGGACACAUUCUCCGCCCACGAGGAGCGGGGACGCCCGCGGCGCCCGCCGCCCCGGGGUGCGGAGGGGCCGGGGCCGGUCGCACCCGUCUCCGGAGAGGGGCCGGAGACCCACGGGAGGGAGACCCCGGAGGCCUUCGGGGGCGCGGCGCGCUGCAGCGACGCCACCCCCCGGUAGCCCUCCCCCGCCUCCUGGGCUCGAGGCCUUGGGGCGCCCCGGCGAGGGCGGGAGCCGCUGGGGAGUCCAGUGGGGCCUACUGGAAAAUCCGACCAGUCAUCCCGAGUCGUUCCCGAGUUCCUCCCUCCAGCUGUGCAUUCUCCCGUCCCCUCCCACGGGCCCAGCGGCUCGGCUCCGGCCGGCGGGCCCGGCCCCGGCUCCUCCCCCAGUUCCAGGCUCUUGGGGCUCAGGGGCGCAGAGGAGGAGGAGGAGGGGCAGUGGAGGAGGAGAGAGGAGGAGGAAGGCAGGACGGAGGAGAAAAAGGACGAGGAGGAGCGGGAGGAGAAGGAGGGAAAGGAGCCGGAGGAGGGGAGAAGGAAGGGCAGGGGAAGAGAGAGGAGGAGGAGGAGGAGAGGGAGGGGGCCGGACACCCGGGGCGGCCACCGGGCGGGCGGGCGGCCGACUGGGCCGAGAGGUCAUCGCGGGGCUCGGCGUCGGGGCCGGCCCCGCCUGCCCGCCCCGCUCCCCACAGGAAUGUGCGCCCGCGGGGGUCGCGGCCCCGAGCCCUCCCACGGUGCCCGGCCCCAAGGAGCCGCGGCGAUCCCGGCGAGGUGGGGGGCACCGCAGCGUGGGGGGAGGGGGAUGCCGAGGAAUGCUCCCGGGGAGGACGGAUGGUCAGGAUGCAGACAGACGCCCGCGCCCGCCCUCCCUCGGGCCUCCUUCCCCCCCAUUUUCCCAGCCACACGGGCGGCCCCGGGCCGGGGGUCUCCUCCUCCGGGGGAGCGGGGGUCCGGGGUGGGGGCGGGCGCGCGAAGGAGGGACGGGGGGGGGGGGGGGGGAGAGGUGUCUCGUCAGAGCGGCUCUCCGCGGACACGUGCCGUCCCGGCCAGGAAGGGCUGAGAGACGGCGUGUCCGGAGGAGGAGAGGAGACGCUCGAUUCCGGGCCCGGGUGCUCCGAGGAGCAGGCGGAGGCGAGGGGAAUUUCCACCCCCAUUCUCCAGAUGAGGAGACCGAGGCAAGGCCGGAGGGGCCGGAUGUCUAAGCCAGAUGUGCCCAGAGCGGGGUGGGUGGGGGGCAUGAUUUCUGAACGGCCCCCGUGGCUUGCCCCCGCCCGUGCCUCGGCUCCGCCCCGAUCCCGGGCCCGGCCCCUGCCCUUUCCUGACCUCCCGCCGAAGGACCCCCCCCCCCGCCGGGCCGCAGGUUUCCACGGCCGGGGCUCACGAUCGGGCCGGGGAAGCGAGGGGGAGUCCGAGGGAGUGAAGCUUCAAGGGCGGAGGCCCCAGGCUCGGGCAGGGGGGCGGCCCCAGCCCGCCGGGGGGCCCGGCGGUCUCCCGCUCGGCCGCCUGCCGCGGACCCGGCUAGAUUCCACGUGCAGACGACUUUCGCGGGGUGGCCCGCUUAAAGCGAGCCCGUUUGAUAAUAAUAAUGACGACGACGGUGUUCGUUGA